rnacentral:rRNA from 1 species
GAUGAACGCUGGCGGCGUGCUUAACACAUGCAAGUCGAACGGAAAGGCUCCUGCUUGCAGGGGUACUCGAGUGGCGAACGGGUGAGUAACACGUGGGUGAUCUGCCCUGCACUUCGGGAUAAGCCUGGGAAACUGGGUCUAAUACCGGAUAGGACGAUGGUUUGGAUGCCAUUGUGGAAAGUUUUUCGGUGUGGGAUGAGCUCGCGGCCUAUCAGCUUGUUGGUGGGGUAAUGGCCUACCAAGGCGUCGACGGGUAGCCGGCCUGAGAGGGUGUACGGCCACAUAGGGACUGAGAUACGGCCCAGACUCCUACGGGAGGCAGCAGUGGGGAAUAUUGCACAAUGGGCGCAAGCCUGAUGCAGCGACGCCGCGUGGGGGAUGACGGCCUUCGGGUUGUAAACUACUUUCGCUAGGGACGAAGCGCAAGUGACGGUACCUGGAGAAGAAGCACCGGCUAACUACGUG